AUUUGUGCUAUUAACCUGAAAUACAACUCAAAAGUGAGAUCACAAAGCCAAAACAGAAACUAAAAUUCAACAUGAAGCUCAAUUAAUCAAGUAAUAACGUCCUAAAAUUAAGGGAGCAUGCAAGAUUGAAUUAUUUCUAAGCCUAGGGGUAGAAUAGUCAUUUCACAGUUAGGGAGUAAUAUUGAACCAAAAUUCUAUUUAUAUCUAACCUAGACUA
rnacentral:lncRNA from 1 species